UAUCUGUAUCUUUAUUAGUGGUAACUUAAUAAUCAAUUAAUAAAAGCAAGCUUCUAAAUACAGUUUUAAUCUAUGGUAAACAUAAUUUCACUUAACCAGAGAAUAAUCAUUUCACAUUAGGUUCUUUUGAUGCUUUUAUUUUUCAGGAUGAAGACAUUACGUGCAAUGCUACUGAUGCUGUUUGUUGCAUCAGUCUUUUCAAAACCAUUUGGUUUGCGCAGAAGAUUUGAUUCAUCGGACUCUGUGCGAUCUAGAUUCAGUUCAGGGGAAAAUGAUUCAAGCAGAGAAGACAGGAAGGAUUCACAGUCUGAUGGGAAUUCUGAAUCAAACGGGUGUAAAUCAAGUGAUUCUGAAUCUUCGGAGGAAGUUAUCAGCGUUGUGUCAAGCACAUUCCCUCCAGCUAGCACAGCAAGUCCAUCGACCGCUGGCAAGACAACAACAACAACAACACCAGCUACCACAACACAAGCCAUCACACAAUGUGUUACUGAAAGAAGGGGUGAUGAUAGUGUUGUUAUAAUAUCUUGCAGUACUUCUCCAUAAUCAUCAGUUGAAUGUUUAAAGAUGUACAGUUCAUUACAAUAUAAAGUCAAGUUUAUGUACUGAUAAUGAAGGUCUUGAUACUGAAUGAUGUAACUUUUAAAAUGAUUUACUUUUAAACUUCAUGUCACUAUUAUGGUUUUAAUUGCUUAU